CGUGCUUAACACAUGCAAGUCGAACGAUGAAGCCCUUCGGGGUGGAUUAGUGGCGAACGGGKGAGUAACACGUGGGCAAUCUGCCYUUCAYUSUGGGACAAGCCCUGGAAACGGGGUYUAAUACCGGAUAAYACUUKCMSAGGCAUCUCGGKGGGUUGAAAGCUCCGGCGGUGAAGGAUGAGCCCGCGGCCUAUCAGCUUGUUGGUGAGGUAGAAGCUCACCAAGGCGACGACGGGUAGCCGGCCUGAGAGGGCGACCGGCCACACUGGGACUGAGACACGGCCCAGACUCCUACGGGAGGCAGCAGUGGGGAAUAUUGCACAAUGGGCGAAAGCCUGAUGCAGCGACGCCGCGUGAGGGAUGACGGCCUUCGGGUUGUAAACCUCUUUCAGCAGGGAAGAAGCGAAAGUGA
rnacentral:rRNA from 1 species